AUUGAACGCUGGCGGCAGGCCUAACACAUGCAAGUCGAGCGAGCGGCGGACGGGUGAGUAAUGUAUGGGGACUGCCCUAUACAGGGGGCUAACUACUGGACACGGUAGCUAAUACCUCAUACUCUCGGGAAACCCAUAUGGGAUUAGCUAGUAGGUGAGGUAAUGGCGCACCUAGGCGACCAUCCCUAGCUGGUCUGUGAGGAUGAUCAGUAACACGGGGACUGAGAAACGGGCCGGACUCCUACGGAGGCAGCAGUGGGGAAUAUUGCACAAUGGGCGCAAGCCUGAUGCAGCCAUGCCGAGUGUAGGAAGAAGGCCCAAGGGUUGUAAAGUACUUUCGGUCGGGAGGCGUUACCGACAGAAGAAGCACCGGCUAACUCCGUGCCAGCAGCCGCGGUAAUUC
rnacentral:rRNA from 1 species